rnacentral:rRNA from 1 species
CCUACGGGAGGCUGCAGUCGAGAAUCAUUCACAAUGGGGGAAACCCUGAUGGUGCGAUGCCGCGUGGGGGAAUGAAGGUCUUCGGAUUGUAAACCCCUUUCAUGUGGGAGCAAAUUAAAAAGAUAGUACCACAAGAGGAAGAGACGGCUAACUCUGUGCCAGCAGCCGCGGUAAUACAGAGGUCUCAAGCGUUGUUCGGAAUCACUGGGCGUAAAGCGUGCGUAGGCUGUUUCGUAAGUCGUGUGUGAAAGGCGCGGGCUCAACCCGCGGACGGCACAUGAUACUGCGAGACUAGAGUAAUGGAGGGGGAACCGGAAUUCUCGGUGUAGCAGUGAAAUGCGUAGAUAGCGAGAGGAACACUCGUGGCGAAGGCGGGUUACUGGACAUUAACUGACGCUGAGGCACGAAGGCCAGGGGAGCGAAAGGGAUUAGAUACCCUAGUAGUC